CCUAAAUUGGCUACCCUGAAUCCCUAAACACACGUAGAGAAAAGGAAACAGAAGGAAAGGGGAAAAGAAAGAAAAGGAAAAAAGAGAAGGGGGAAUCGGGGAAGAAGAAGGGAAGGAGAGGGAGAAGAGCGUGCCGUCGCUGCGCCCUGCCCGCCUGUCACCGCUGUUCCGUGGAGCCGCAGCCAACGUUGCGUGAACCGGAGGGUGUGGAGACGGAGAAGAGUGCGCGCGAGAGAGGAGAAGUAGCCACCAUCGUCGAGGACUCCAUCACCGCCGCUAAAGGUCCUGACCGUCGAGCUCGUCGUUGCCAUCGUACCUCACAUCACUGCCGCCAUGAGGAGCUCGAAGAGAGAGAAAGGGUUCGCGCAGAGAGAGAAACACGAUGAGGGAGUAGGAGGUUGCCUCUGUUGCUGCCAAGCUGUCGCUGGCGGGGUUGGAUUCGCCGUCGCCGUUGGCGUCUGGAUCGCCACUCUGUUUCUGCUGCAACUCACCACUGUCCUGCUUGGUCUGAUCAUUGGCAAAGGCCUAAGAGAUAAACAGUUGCUUCAGUUGAAGGUAGAGACGGCCCAAGACCCCCCAAAAGGCAGAGACAGACAUUCAUCUUAGCCAUUUCGAGAGCAGAUGGCAUCUUGAGAGACCACUGAUCCAGGGACAAGUUGGAGCGCGGUUGGCAAUCUCUUUGACGGCGGCAGCAGCUUCAGUCAGUCCUUGUGGACUUGUGGACGAGUCUUCGUGGUGGUUCGUUCUGUUCAUAUAAAGUGGUAUGAAAGUUUCACUCCAUAUGUUUGAUGUUUUGUUUCAUGUAUAUUAUUGUAAUAGUUCACCUCAUAAGUUGAAUAUAUAAUGCCAUAUACUUAAAGCAACUAGGAAUUCUAUGAUUUGCUAGCUUUUUGCAUAAUCUCUAUAGACACAAAAUGGGUAAUGGUUCUUUGUCAAUGCUGCUAUGAUUUAUUUUAAUUUUAAUAUUAAUUUGUUAUAAUACUGUUAUGAUUUUGAUUUGGUAAUUAGUUCUCUAAAAGUGUUGUUCUGGUUUUGCUUUGAUUUUAAACUUAAUUUUAUAUUAAAUUAGGAUUAUGUUGUGUGAUUUUGAUUUAGAAAUUGGUUCUCUGGAAAUGCUAUUUUGAUUUUAUUUUGAUUUUAAUAUUGAUUUGCUAUAGUGCUAUUCUGAUUUUGAUUUGGUAAUUGGUUAUCUAAAAAUGCUGUUCUGAUUUUGUGUUGUUUUUAAUAUUAUUUUGGUCAUUACUCUGUUUUGGUCAUUGAUUUAAAAUAGAAAAAAUAUUACCACAAUUAUGAAGAUUUGUAUAUGGUAGAUUGGUUUUACUCAUGUGCUAUUAUUUUGAGUCUUUUUGAACUGUUCAAUGCAAAUAAGUUUGAUUUUGUUAUUAAUUUUUGGAUGUCAUAAAUCAGAAAAGUGUUUUGGUUACAUGGUAACUAGUGUUAAAAAGAAAUUUUUUUCUAAAUUUACUGCUAUGGCUCACAAGAGUACUAGAAAAGUAGAUUCUAGAAUGAGUCAAGAUUUGAAGAAAAAAGAGACCACAAUUGUAGAUGAUGUUAAAGAGUGUGGCAGCUUGCAAAAAAGGCCAACUAAGAAGGGAAAAAUACGUCAAUUUGCUUCAAUGCCGAUUGAUACAUUUCUUAAACUUAACAAGAACCUGAUGGUGAAGAGAAAUUGGAUGAGAAUGAAGGAGAUAAUAUAGAGGAGCAAGACAAGGAUUAUAUUAAUCCAACUGAGGCUGAGGACAUAGACAAUACUUUGAAAGAGACAACGGUGAAGAAAACACGAGGACCUAUACAAUGCUUGAAGAUUUAUGCAAGACAGUUGGAAGAUAGAGAAGAAAUUACUUUAGAUAUUGAAGGAGAGGCAAUUGGUCCUACUGAUAAAGCUGUAAACAACUUGAGCAAAUUUUUUGGUACAGUGGCAAGGAAUUCAGAUUUUUGUCCAUUAAUUUACACAAACUAGAAGGGGAUUAAAGAUAAAGAAGCUAUUUGGGAAUAUGUUCAAGUGAAAAUAUUAGUCUUGUUACUUUUAGAAAGUAUUUAGAAAUGUACACAUAUAUUUUAUAAGUUAAAUUUGAUGGGAAAUGUUCAAUUAUUUUUCUUUA